GGGGGACUACAUAUUAAAUGGAUUUUUCGAACAGGGAGUCGGAAAUGGGGCUUGCUCCGUCCGCUCCACGCAUCGACCCGGUAUUGCAGUACCUCCGGGAACGGUGCAACACUU
rnacentral:snRNA from 8 species